GACGAACGCUGGCGGCGUGCUUAACACAUGCAAGUCGAACGGAAAGGCCCCUUUGGGGGUACUCGAGUGGCGAACGGGUGAGUAACACGUGAGUAACCUGCCCUUGACUUCGGGAUAACUUCAGGAAACUGGGGCUAAUACCGGAUAGGAAUCCUUGCUGCAUGGUGGGGGUUGGAAAGCUUCGGCGGUUUUGGAUGGACUCGCGGCUUAUCAGCUUGUUGGUGGGGUAGUGGCUUACCAAGGCUUUGACGGGUAGCCGGCCUGAGAGGGCGACCGGCCACAUUGGGACUGAGAUACGGCCCAGACUCCUACGGGAGGCAGCAGUGGGGAAUAUUGCACAAGGGGCGGAAGCCUGAUGCAGCAACGCCGCGUGCGGGAUGACGGCCUUCGGGUUGUAAACCGCGUUCAGCAGGGGCGAAGCUUGUGGUGACGGUACCUGCAGAAGAAGCACCGGCUAACUACGUG
rnacentral:rRNA from 1 species